rnacentral:rRNA from 1 species
AGAGUUUGAUCAUGGCUCAGGAUGAACGCUAGCUACAGGCUUAACACAUGCAAGUCGAGGGGAAACGAUAUUGGAAGCUUGCUUCCGAUAGGCGUCGACCGGCGCACGGGUGAGUAACGCGUAUCCAACCUGCCCACCACUUGGGGAUAACCUUGCGAAAGUAAGACUAAUACCCAAUGAUAUCUCUAGAAGACAUCUGAAAGAGAUUAAAGAUUUAUCGGUGAUGGAUGGGGAUGCGUCUGAUUAGCUUGUUGGCGGGGUAACGGCCACCAAGGCGACGAUCAGGUAGGGGUUCUGAGAGGAAGGUCCCCCCANAUUGGAACUGAGACACGGUCCAAACUCCUACGGGAGCA